rnacentral:lncRNA from 1 species
UUGUUAUGACUUUUGGAUAGGUUUCUUUGUACUGCUUGGUUUGAAUAAGCAAGUGUCGUCUCUCUGUUUGCAUCUAUUUAUUUGAGCAAGGAUAUGCUUGCUAUAUUGUACAAGUAAAGAGAAUUACUUCUAUCAGUUAAAUAUUUGUCUUGCUUAAUUUGAGUAUGGUGAUCAGCAUGGACUUCCAUUGAAUCCGGCGAGCAUGUUAUGAAUGGGCUGGGACUGCUCAUUUUAGUUGUCUGAUCAACUUCAAAAGCUUCAACAUGCACUUCUUCAAACCUCAGAAAGUACCAACAAAGCAAGCACUCUAUCUGUUCUUUAGGAAUCAUGAUCACUCCUUAGUACAGUCACAGCAUCCCCACUCAUUGUAGUUGUUCUGUAUGAAAGGCG